GAUGAACGCUGGCGGCGUGCCUAACACAUGCAAGUCGAGCGAGAAGCUCAUGAUCGAAACUUCGGUUGAUUGAUUGAGUGGAAAGCGGCGGACGGGUGAGUAACGCGUAGGCAACCUGCCCCUUGCAGAGGGAUAGCCUCGGGAAACCGGGAUUAAAACCUCAUAAUGCGUUUUGAAGACAUCUUCGAGACGCCAAAGAUUUAUCGGCAAGGGAUGGGCCUGCGUCUGAUUAGUUAGUUGGUGGGGUAACGGCCUACCAAGGCAGCGAUCAGUAGCCGACCUGAGAGGGUGAUCGGCCACAUUGGAACUGAGACACGGUCCAA
rnacentral:rRNA from 1 species